CGCUUCGAGUGUCAUUUUAACUCGAAGAUUAACAAAGUACAAAUAAAAGUUGGUCCAGAACUUCGCUUUAAUGGAACUUUUCGAAAUGAAAUGCUUAUGCCAUGCAGAGAAACAGGUUAGUAUCGAAAUUAGCUAUUUUGUAGACGUUUGUAAGUUGUUUUUGUUGAGUUAUAGCUGUUGACGUGUUGUUUGAAACGCGUCCUAAAAAUUUAUUGAAUUAUUCGCCUCCCGUAGCGCUUCGUUCUUGCUUAUUCCCUUCAUUUUCUUAAUAUUUCUCCAAGAAACACCCCAGCUUUGAUUGAUUUAACUCGUAAUUAUUUGUUUUGUCUGCAACUUCAGGGGGAAAUUCGACGAGAAGGUUAACUGAUUCAAAUCACCCAAAAUAUCGAAGGCUGUCGAAGUACACAUGCAGUUGAAGAAGUACCGUUAAAUGCUUUUGCUUCUUGCUUGUUUGUCGCUUUUAAUUAAACCUUCCCUUGUACAACUAGAAUGUCUUGUAGUUAAAAUCGCUUUUCGCGCCCGCGUUCCUUACUUGUCGGCGAUCACAUGUACUUCGUUAAAAGCCGUUUUAUACAGAACGUCGAGAGAAUAAAUAAGCGACGAUCAAGGAAUUCAACUCAUUGAAGUAAGUUUUUUUAAAUAACUACAAUCUAGUAUUAUUUCAAUCAUAACUCGUGUUGAUUUCUUUAGUUUAAAUUAAGAAACUUAAAUUUGUAAAGCCUAGUUUCUAUUUGGUCGUUAGUUGUCGCUGGCACGACAAGUGGCUGAUGUAAUAGAGUGUCAACAAAAAACUCUGCAAUCAUUAAAACUGACUUGCAUAUCACACAAAAAGACUAUUAUUAUAUUAGACUAUUUCACAUCUACCGUUUGUCGUGCCAACGACAACUAACAACCAAAUGGAAACUAGGCUUUAGUAUCAAAUGAUUUUCACUAUAAAUAUAAUUUCAUUGUAAAUGCCCUGGAGUUUUAAUAAUUCAGCAAACAAAUUCAACAAAGCUGAAAAAAUCGCUACCGGGGGAUAGCGCGCUAUCCACCCUUCGUACAGUACGACCCAACGCUGUACAGUAUUACGUAUAUAUCUCUCUUACUUCCUCAUUAGCACUAAAACCGUGCAUGGUGGAUCCAAAUAUUAAGACAACUUCAACUCUUACAACUCCCAAAACAAAUACUUUUACAACUUAUCCACUCAACUGAUGGCGCCGCGCGCAAAGUUCCUGCUGCGAAAGUUGUUUCAACAAAAACGGUUCUUGUUCUACCUGCAAUGCUGGACAAAACAUUCUGCGACACUACCAACUAUUUGACAAAAUUUCGUAAUAUUAUCGUAAAUUUAGAAAACCUCCCCCUUAGCCCACCAUUCAAUGUUGAUUGCGUUCGUAGAAUACUAUUAAAACUGUGUUGGACACAUUGUUUUGAGGGGAGGAGGGGGGGCGGGGGGGCGGGGGGAGGACGGGUAAAUUAUUCCGAUCUAAUUAGCAAAAACAGCCACAAAGAAAUGGGUUCUUUUAGAGUGUCGCAGAUGGUUUUGUGCAGGAUUGUAGCUUUGACGGCCGAAUUUAGGAAAGUUUUUGCAGAUUCUUUCAACGUACCUGAAGGAAACAGACAACAUGAACGAACCUGUCCGACAUCGAACUGUCUUAGAUACCAUACUUCCUUUAUUCAUAUACAUGUACCUUAUUACUUAAUUUAAUUUGAUUGUGCUUUGAUUCAACUCGAUUGGUUUGCAUGCUGUAAUUUGAUCUAGGCGAUGAUAUACAGCU